rnacentral:piRNA from 1 species
UGAUCAGAAUAGACUCUCCAACUCCA